rnacentral:lncRNA from 1 species
AAACUUCAUUAAUAAUAAAAUACAAAAUACAAAAGAAGAAAAAUAAAAUAAAAUAAAAUAAGGGAAAGGAGAAUCUAGGAGACAUAGGGUCCUACACAAGAGGUGUCUUCAGCUACUUUGAGCUUCAGACUCCAAUGGGUCUCCAGAACCUCAUUUAACCCAACAUCAUGCACUUUCUUCACUAUUCCUUCUUGAUGGAAGAGUUCAUAAAUAACUCAUCCAAAAGGAAUAAGUAAAGACAUUCCUUCAUGAGAGGCAAUUAUCUUUGACUUCAUA